ensembl:lncRNA
CUUUUUUCUCCUCACAAGGAUACAAACGUUUCGGGAACAAAGCUUUCAUUGCUGUAGCCAAUGUCCAGCCCAGUGGCCGACAGUUAGUAAAGGCUGCACAAAUGCUCAGUGAGGCCAACGUUCCUUCUCCCACUACAGCCAUAUCUUUCCAUGGACUUAGCAGCUGAGAGCUCAGAUGACCAUGGGUCUGUGUCAGUGGCAACUCUCCCAGUGUGGUGGUAAAGGUUUCUCUCCACCUCCAGGUGAUGGUGGUUAAAGGAGGCCGGACGUGGCUGCUGCCCUGGUGAAAAGUCCACUGCAGGAAGGAGCCACAGACACACCUUGGAGGCCUCAGGGCUGAGCCUGGAGUAAGCUCCACACGCGGCGGACGCCACGUCCCCAGCUCCGCCCACGCGAGCUUCGCGGGGAACCCCGGUGACGUCACCACCCGCAGCGCCCUCCUUCCCGCGCUCUCCAGAAAGGACGCGAAGGUGGUGACGUGUCCGGAGCGCCAGCGCGGCUGCGCACAAGGCGCGUGACCAACCUGCGGCGCCGCCUGGCGGAAGAACAGCGGCGGUGUGGCUGGAAGCGAUGUGCGGCGGCAGCGUGGUAACGUCAUAUCGCGGGGCCACGUGAACGCAUGCUGCUUCGGCUUCCCUUCUGCUAGUGUGGGCGGAAACGUGGCUUCAAGCCUUGCAUUACUUGGCCUCCUGAAACAGCCUGACGUCGUCCGGCUGCUGGUUAUGGGAAGUUUGAAGACCAGGAAACAUAGAGACUGCGUACUCAUCCCCUGCCUUUGUCAGCAAC